rnacentral:rRNA from 1 species
UACAGAGGGGGCAAGCGUUGUUCGGAAUUACUGGGCGUAAAGGGCGCGUAGGCGGCCUGCUAAGUCGAACGUGAAAUCCCUGGGCUCAACCCAGGAACUGCGUCCGAUACUGGUUGGCUUGAAUCCGGGAGAGGGAUGUGGAAUUCCAGGUGUAGCGGUGAAAUGCGUAGAUAUCUGGAGGAGCACCGGUGGCGAAGGCGACAUCCUGGACCGGUAUUGACGCUGAGGCGCGAAAGCGUGGGGAGCAAACAGG